rnacentral:rRNA from 1 species
CUGGACCUACGGGGGGCAGCAGUGAGGAAUAUUGGUCAAUGGCCGCAGGGCUGAACCAGCCAAGUCGCGUGAGGGAUGACGGUCCUAUGGAUUGUAAACCUCUUUUAUCAGGGAGCAAAGGGCGCCACGUGUGGCGUUUUGCGAGUACCUGAAGAAAAAGCAUCGGCUAACUCCGUGCCAGCAGCCGCGGUAAUACGGAGGAUGCGAGCGUUAUCCGGAUUUAUUGGGUUUAAUGGGUGCGCAGGCGGAUUUUUAAGUCAGCGGUCAAAUCGUGGGGCUCACCCCCAUCCAGCCGUUGAAACUGG